AUACGUAGGGAGCGAGCGUUGUCCGGAAUUACUGGGUGUAAAGGGCGCGUAGGCGGCGCGGUAAGUCUGGAGUGAAAGUCCUGCUUUCAAGGUGGGAAUUGCUUUGGAAACUGCAGGACUUGAGUGCUGGAGGGGAUAGCGGAAUUCCUAGUGGAGCGGUAAAAUGCGUAGAGAUUGGGAGGAACACCAGUGGCGAAGGCGACUUACUGGGCCGUAACUGACGCUGAGGCGCGAAAGCGUGGGGAGCGAACAGGAUUAGAUACCCUGGUAGUCCACGCUGUAAACGAUGAAUGCUAGGUGUAGGGGGUAUCGACCCCUCCUGUGCCGGAGUAAACGCAAUAAGCAUUCCGCCUGGGGAGUACGGCCGCAAGGUUGAAACUCAAAGGAAUUGACGGGG
rnacentral:rRNA from 1 species